UACAGAGGUCUCGAGCGUUGUUCGGAUUCAUUGGGCGUAAAGGGUGCGUAGGCGGCGCGGUAAGUCGGGUGUGAAAUCUUGGAGCUUAACUCCGAAACUGCAUUCGAUACUGCCGUGCUUGAGGACUGGAGAGGAGGCUGGAAUUUACGGUGUAGCGGUGAAAUGCGUAGAUAUCGUAAGGAAGACCAGUGGCGAAGGCGGGUCUCUGGACAGUUCCUGACGCUGAGGCACGAAGGCCAGGGGAGCAAACGGG
rnacentral:rRNA from 1 species